rnacentral:lncRNA from 1 species
AAUAAAAUUAUUCACUAAGAGUUAGUGAAAUUUAAGAGAAUUAAUUAGUAAUUAGAUUGCUGAUUAGCUCAAUUUGAUUGAGCAUUAAAGUUUGGAUCAUGUCUAAUUGAAUUAGAUUCAAUUAGGUCAAACCCGAUUAAGUUAUAGGAUGACCUAGUUGCUAAGGGAGAUUAAGAUCAGGACCUGGAUCCAAUUAAUUUCUAAUUGAGUGAGGAUCAAGUU